CUACCGUGUGCUCUGUUGACAGUCCUAGUGUUAACAGGCAAAAGAAAAAGCACCUGUUUUACCCAUGUUCAAGUUGGAUUUCAUUCUAGUGGACAGACCAGAAAUUGGCAGCAAAAUAAAACCUUUUCUAAAGAGCAGAGUUUGCCUACCUUUGUUGGGAAAACCUAGUGAGUCCAACAUACUGUUAGUGUGUGGAGACACCAUGGCACGAUCCCCCUGACUGUCACCCAAUUGGCAUCCUGCUUUAGGUAUCCGGACACCCCUCCCAAGUCCGCACAUGGACUGCAGUGUGACGGUGCCCUCAUUUGUAACUUGACCUGAUGCUUGGUAAAAGUUCACAAGACUUUGUCCAAGGUGGACCAUCUUAAACAACCCAGAGGCCCUGAGAGAAUGACCUAUCCAAAAUGCAGCUGAGAUUGUGUUAACUACAGCAGGUGUCGCUAAACUUUUCAUGAGUAAGUAGUUGGGGUACACUUAGCAGCUGGGGCAUGUCUGGCUGUUCUUAGCACAGCCUUGCCUGCAAAGAGGGACAGUGGCCAGUAUUUCUACUCUGCAUGUAACCAGACAUAUUUGACUUACUAAUCAGACUCAGAGAAACCCUAACUUGUAACAGCAUCAUCUCUGCCUAGUUAAGAUUCAUUAAAGCUGAGGACACAGUGGAUAGCAGUUCAGAUUCUUGCAAAACCUGCAUAAUCAUCGAGCACACAAGUAUAUCAUAUAUGACAUAAAAGCGUUAUAUAAACAUGUUAGGUAAAAAACACAGGCCUAUGAAGUAUUGAGGAUCAAGUGAGGCGGAGGUGUGCUAUAUGGCUUUUUAACCCAAGAAGAGGCAGUUUAUGGGCAGAGGCAUGGUGAAGGGAAAAGGUAGCCAAGAAGAACGAUAUGAUGGUUGUCAAGGCCCAGGAGUCACAGGUGAUAGACCUGCUGCUCAGAAGUUACCUUUUGAAUCCUUGGGUUGAUGUCUGUGAAAUCUCUUUAAACAUUCAUUGCAACGACCCAGGAACUAUGAAGAAAAAAAGUCUGAAAUCUGGGAAGUGUAGAAUAAAGAGAUCCAGUCGUGCUCUUCCAUCUUUAAAUGUUUUAGCCAAAACAGUGGGCAACAUGAUGAGAAACCGGAUGCCAGAUUGGACUCCAGUCUCCAGUCCUCUUUUCUUCCCGGUCAGAAUAGUAGACGCUGCACGCCUGCUCAGCUGCUCUCAGGCACCUCCUUUUCUCAUAAGUCCCGUAAGGAAAGGCAUUUCCCUAAAAGCUCAUUUCUGCUGCUGGUGGAGAAACUAA
rnacentral:lncRNA from 1 species